UUUAAUCCCAGCACUAGAGGUAUAUAAAAGAUAAGAGCAGGGUCUUCAAUAGUCAGUAUCAGGCAUUCAUUCUCCAGCCACAUUGAGGAUAGGAAGACACUUAAGUUUUAGGAUUCUCUAGGUACUAUGAGGAGAAGCAGCAGUCUGAGGUUUGGUGGAGCCAGGAAUGCCUUUCAUUCUGAGGUAGAGUAAGAGCUAGUGAUCAGCUGCUUUGCUUUUCUGAUCUUCAGCUUGAAGCUUGAACCCCGAUAUCAGUCUCUGGGUCUUUUAUUUUUUUGUGUGUUACACCCAAGCACGAAGCAUUACAUGUAAUAGGUAGGUGCACAGAAGUAGACACAUUCAGCCAGCAAAUCAAGGUCUCCUCCUCACUGUUAUCCCAGAUUCUUUGCUCCAGGACACAGGAGAGGGGUGAGGGUCAGGCUGAGAAUAGAAUCCUUGUUAACUCCUAGGCAGAAAAACAGGGCCAGGGUCUCAGUAAUAUCAGUUUUUCGGGGUGGGGUGGGGAGGUUGGAGGGCUGGAAAGGCCCAUUGUUGAUUCUAGAUUUCCCUGCCACAAUUUAAAGACAGGAAUCCACUCCUCCCAGAACAAUGGAAACUAGGACUCUUGCAGAGACUGGCAGGCAGCGAUGCAGGAGUACAGGGCAUCAAGGGUCCUGAAGAACUUGUGCUGUCUCCUGAAUACUGCCAAUCAAUGGGGGAGGGGCGGGCACUCUAGGGCUCAGAGGCCAAAUGAGAGGGUGGUGCUAGCCUGACUCAGAUGUCUAAUCCAUUAAAGGCAGGUGUAAGCACAAGAGGGCUGGGAACAAAGCAAAUCCGACCUGACGUCACCUGCCUGAUGCACUUAGUGACCAGACCCGGAAUGCAUCAUCUGUUCCCUGGGCACAGCUUCCUGCUGCAGGUGCUUCCACUCAGGAUGGUGGUGGCUUCCAGGAGAACCUCAGGUAGAGAAGAAACAUAGACGGAGCAGUUGUUGCCGAUGCAGGAGGCAGGGCUGUGUAGUUUCCGUGCCUCAGUUUCUUCCUCUUUAAUAAAAACAGGUUUACACUUGCCCAGGAGAGCUGCUGGCAGCUUAAACGUGCAAACCGCUUGAGAUGUUUCACACACGACACAGUAAAUGCUCAAUAAACGUGAACUGAUGUAGUUAUUCUUCAGCCCAAUCCCUUUAACCCUCUCUAACAGAGGAAAUGAGAGGUUUACUACAACCGAGGUCCCUGUGUUUCAACAGGCUUUGGGGGGAUGUGGUGUGGAAAAUGGAUUAGAGAGGGAGGAGGAGGCUGAAGCCUGGGAACCCGGGGAGAAGUCUGCAGGCAUCCAGAUGGGAGGUGGAGGGACGGAAACUCGAGGUUCUUGGCAGUGGGAUUCAGGAAAUAUUUCAGAGACAUUCUCUCCAGGACGUGAUAACAGGGCAGUUUCUUUCCUGACACGCUCUCAGAGUGUCUGUGUAGACCGCCGCUCAGGC
rnacentral:lncRNA from 1 species